rnacentral:lncRNA from 1 species
UGGCAAGAUUAACAUAAUAAUGAAAAUUUGUAUUUUUGCUGGUAAUAUUCUAUUACAUGUACAGGAGGGCAUUUAGUAUUGUGUAGGAUGCAGACAUUUAUUGCAAAAGCUGAUUUUUUUAUAAUACUUUAAUUCAAUUGUUUAUAUACCUUUUCAUUAAUGUUACAAUUAGUUAGUUUUCAUAUUGGGUUGUGCUAUCAAAGGUUGUGUGUUUCUUGUGUUGUGAUAGCCCAUGUACAGUGCCUAAUAUGGUUUUAAAUAAAAUUUAUUUAUAGUUAAUGAAUUUCUGUUCAAAGAUCAUAAUUGGAUAGAUUACCAGGUCACCAUUGGUAACCAUUUGGUUGGGAUUGGAAUCUAUAGUUUCUUUUUAUAGACAGUACAAGAGAGUUAACUGUA